rfam:Geosporobacter ferrireducens strain IRF9, complete genome.
CGCGGAGUGGAGCAGUUGGCAGCUCGUCGGGCUCAUAACCCGAAGGUCACAGGUUCAAGUCCUGUCUCCGCAA